CGAAAGAGCAAGUCUGACGAUGACAACGACCUCUCUGAUAAAGCAUGCAUAGUUUCGUUUUAUACAGCUUCCUUUCCACCAUCAUCGAUUUUGUAUACAAAAUUGUUGGGAUUGCGAUUGAGAUUUGUGUUUGCUGCAGAGGAAUUCUCAGUUCACAAGAAAACGGAUAGAUACAACCGAGCAAAAUCCAGAAUUCGCCGAACCCUAAUGGUUAUUGGAGUGUUAUUUUCCCUAAAUACAAAAGUUACUCCUUUUAUUUUCG
rnacentral:misc_RNA from 1 species